UUUUCCUGUACUGGACGUGAGCUCGGCCUUCGGCUCCUUGGUUAGAGGACCUGGUUCCGUUCUCCUCGUCCGCGACCUGUCCUCCGAGAAGGUGGCUGGCCUCAGGUACUGGAACCAAGCCUUGGACCUUCAGGAGGAUCCAGAACCAUCUCUUGCCAUAAUCCAUUUCCAGACUCUAAAUCAGUCGGCAGUCCACUCUCGCACUUUAGGCUCUAAGUGAGACCCUGUCCUUCCUCCAGCUGUGAUCUAAGGAAUUGGCAAGCGCGGCCGGAUCCUGAGCCACUCCACUAUCUUCAAGACUCGCCUUUUCUCUCUCCCUGGCGGUUCUAAACAAUCUAAAAUGCCUGUUCCCGGUGCGAGCCGCUCGGGUCUUCCUCCUCCUCUAAAUAACCCUCACCAAAUGGUCGUCUGUUUUUGAGUGUUUCCGUAUGUGGGUCAAAUUGGCCUUUAAAACUAUGACAGUUUACUACAUAAUGUGUACAAUAUGUUUGUCUAUUUAUGUGUCAAAAGAUGUCAAAUUCUAAUGGUUCCCCAUCCACCUCGGACGUGAGUUAAGACCAUCCGAUUUGCGACUGAGUAAGGCCUUCUUUUCAGUUCUAUGCCUUGCACCUCUGGUGUUGACAGCUGAUGGGUCAACACCAGGGUCAAGGGGGUUCUACAAUUUUGAAUUACUCCUCCUUAUUUUAUUUCCUCUCUUGGGUUAAAGAUUAGGCUGUUUAACCAUUGACUUUUGAAAAACCAACAAACUAGAUAAAUGUUAAAACUAAGUAAGUAAGAUAUUUUUGAAUGUUUCUUCCAGUCAGCUUAAAAGUCCCCGGUAAUCUGUAAUAUUAGAGUAAAACUUAUAUAGGGUAGUUUUUUAAUUUUAUUUAUUACUGUUAGCUUAAUGAAUAAUGAGUAAACACUAGUUUGAAUAAUAAAAUUAUUCUUGAUUACUUUUGAUUGAUUUUCUGAUGAUCUUUAGUCUUCACUAGUGUUGAUUCUACAUUUAGUGGAAUACAAACAGGCUUUCCAACAGUAUCUGAUUUAUUGCCAGGAAGCGUCAUUACAGCAAAUAAAAUUUUCCUUUA